rnacentral:miRNA from 14 species
CAACGCUCCAAAGCCUGAGAACGUGACCUGGAUGAGAAGGAUGGGGAUCCUGCGUAGGCUUCUCAGGAGAUACAGGGAA